AUUUGCUCAUACAUUAAUCAUCACCAAAGCCCACCUCAGCUGUACUCUUUGCACAACUUUUAUUCUCUCCAAGUGGAGAGCCUGAUGCAGUGUAAGCGCUCUGGGAGCUGCAGGUGUACAGUGAACACCUGUGUGGCCGAUGAAAAYGUGACAGAAGUACACAGGGAUGCCUCAGGGGCCUGCCCAUGCUGACAUUAUUGCUGAUUCAAUAUUACCAGACUUGGCAAAUGAGUGUUUUGCCUUUGCCCGUGGAGAAGCUCUGCAAGAGGAUUUUCCACAGAWGAAACUCCUGUCCGAACUCCUGGAAAAAAAAAUUAAUGGUCCUUACUGCACAACCUUCCACUGCUGAUGAGGCAUUGCCUCACCCACACCUCGUCUUYCACCUGGGUACUAAGCUGGGG